GACGAACGCUGGCGGCGUGCUUAACACAUGCAAGUCGAACGCUGAAGCUCAGCUUGCUGGGUGGAUGAGUGGCGAACGGGUGAGUAACACGUGGGUAACCUGCCCUCUUCUUUGGGAUAACGCCCGGAAACGGGUGCUAAUACUGGAUAUUCACUGAUUCUCGCAUGGGGGUUGGUGGAAAGGUUUUUUCUGGUGGGGGAUGGGCUCGCGGCCUAUCAGCUUGUUGGUGGGGUGAUGGCCUACCAAGGCUUUGACGGGUAGCCGGCCUGAGAGGGUGACCGGUCACAUUGGGACUGAGAUACGGCCCAGACUCCUACGGGAGGCAGCAGUGGGGAAUAUUGCACAAUGGGCGAAAGCCUGAUGCAGCGACGCCGCGUGAGGGAUGGAGGCCUUCGGGUUGUAAACCUCUUUCGCUCAUGGUCAAGCCGCAGCUUGGGGUUGUGGUGAGGGUAGUGGGUAAAGAAGCGCCGGCUAACUACGUG
rnacentral:rRNA from 1 species